CACCUGGUGGCGAGUGGCGAACGGGUGAGUAAUACAUCGGAACAUGUCCUGUAGUGGGGGAUAGCCCGGCGAAAGCCGGAUUAAUACCGCAUACGAUCUACGGAUGAAAGCGGGGGACCUUCGGGCCUCGCGCUAUAGGGUUGGCCGAUGGCUGAUUAGCUAGUUGGUGGGGUAAAGGCCUACCAAGGCGACGAUCAGUAGCUGGUCUGAGAGGACGACCAGCCACACUGGGACUGAGACACGGCCCAGACUCCUACGGGAGGCAGCAGUGGGGAAUUUUGGACAAUGGGCGAAAGCCUGAUCCAGCAAUGCCGCGUGUGUGAAGAAGGCCUUCGGGUUGUAAAGCACUUUUGUCCGGAAAGAAAUCCUUGGUCCUAAUAUGGCCGGGGGAUGACGGUACCGGAAGAAUAAGCACCGGCUAACUACGUGCCAGCAGCCGCGGUAAUACGUAGGGUGCAAGCGUUAAUCGGAAUUACUGGGCGUAAAGCGUGCGCAGGCGGUUUGCUAAGACCGAUGUGAAAUCCCCGGGCUCAACCUGGGAACUGCAUUGGUGACUGGCAGGCUAGAGUAUGGCAGAGGGGGGUAGAAUUCCACGUGUAGCAGUGAAAUGCGUAGAGAUGUGGAGGAAUA
rnacentral:rRNA from 1 species